ACGGAGCAAUACCGCGUGCGGGACGAAGGCUUUUGGGUCGUAAACCGCUUUUGUUAGGGAAGAACAUAAUGACGGUACCUAACGAAUCAGCAUCGGCUAACUCCGUGCCAGCAGCCGCGGUAAUACGGGGGAUGCAAGCGUUAUCCGGAAUUAUUGGGCGUAAAGCGUCCGCAGGUGGUUUAUCAAGUCUGCUGUCAAAGCGUGGGGCUCAACCCUGUAAAGGCAGUGGAAACUGAGAGACUAGAGUACGGUAGGGGUAGCGGGAAUUCCCAGUGUAGCGGUGAAAUGCGUAGAUAUUGGGAAGAACACCAGCGGCGAAGGCGCGCUACUGGGCCGAAACUGACACUCAUGGACGAAAGCUAGGGGAGCG
rnacentral:rRNA from 1 species